rnacentral:snRNA from 1 species
AAAUUCUGGUUUUCCUUUAAAUCACGUAUUAAAGCUUUCGCCUUUUAUUAAAGAUUUCCGUGGAGGAGAAGAAUAGAUGAGUAUAUAAAAAAUUCAAUGAUGAAACAGAACAAUAACUUCUAUA